CCUACGGGGGGCAGCAGUGAGGAAUAUUGGUCAAUGGACGGAAGUCUGAACCAGCCAUGCCGCGUGCAGGAAGACGGCUCUAUGAGUUGUAAACUGCUUUUGUACAAGGGUAAACCGGAAUACGUGUAUGCAGCUGAAAGUACUGUACGAAUAAGGAUCGGCUAACUCCGUGCCAGCAGCCGCGGUAAUACGGAGGAUCCAAGCGUUAUCCGGAUUUAUUGGGGUUAAAGGGUGCGUAGGCGGAUUGAUAAGUUAGAGGUGAACUGUCCGCGCUUACCUCGGGAACUGCCUCUAAUACUGUUGAUCUAGAUGGUAGGUGCGGUAGGCGGAAUGUCUGGUGUAGCGGUGAAAUGCUU
rnacentral:rRNA from 1 species